rnacentral:rRNA from 1 species
ACGGGUGAGUAACACGUAGGUAACCUGCCUAUAAGACUGGGAUAACUAUCGGAAACGAUAGCUAAGACCGGAUAACUGGUUUUCUCGCAUGAGAGAAUCAUGAAACACGGAGCAAUCUGUGGCUUAUAGAUGGGCCUGCGGCGCAUUAGCUAGUUGGUAGGGUAACGGCCUACCAAGGCGACGAUGCGUAGCCGACCUGAGAGGGUGACCGGCCACACUGGGACUGAGACACGGCCCAGACUCCUACGGGAGGCAGCAGUAGGGAAUCUUCCGCAAUGGACGCAAGUCUGACGGAGCAACGCCGCGUGAGUGAUGAAGGUUUUCGGAUCGUAAAGCUCUGUUGCCCUAGACGAACAGCAAGGAGAGUAACUGCUCUUUGUGUGACGGUAUAGGAGAAGAAAGCCCCGGCUAACUACGUGCCAGCAGCCGCGGUAAUACGUAGGGGGCAAGCGUUGUCCGGAAUUAUUGGGCGUAAAGCGCGCGCAGGCGGUCAAUUAAGUUGGGUGUUUAAGCCCGGGGCUCAACCCCGGUUCGCAUCCAAAACUGGUUGACUUGAGUGUAGGAGAGGAAAGUGGAAUUCCACGUGUA